rnacentral:rRNA from 1 species
GACGAACGCUGGCGGCGCGCUUAACACAUGCAAGUCGAGCGAAGCGGCGGACGGGUGAGUAACACGUGAGUAACCUGCCUUAGACAUUGGGAUAGCCUCGGGAAACCGGGAUUAAUACCAAAUGGUCUAAGAUGGACUCGCGUCCCAUUAGCUAGUUGGUGGGUAACGGCCCACCAAGGCGACGAUGGGUAGCCGGCAUUGGAGGGAGAACGUGCACAGUGGAAUGAAGAAACGGGACAAACGCUACGGGAGGCAGCAGUGGGGAAUAUUGAACAAUGGAGGGAGCUCUGAUGCAGCGACGCCGCGUGAACGAAGAAGGCUUUCGAGUCGUAAAGUUCUUUUAUAUGGGAAGAGGUACCAUAAGAAAAAGCCCCGGCUAACUACGUGCCAGCAGCCGCGGUAAUUC